rnacentral:rRNA from 1 species
AUGAAAUUCUCUUCACUUGCCUUUUUCACAAUGAGCUCAAGAACCAUGUCAUGAACCACACAUUUCUUCACCUUCCCAUUGCCGUUGUGCUCCACUGGUUGGAUGAUCUUCCUCCUUAUGAGAUGAUUGAAGUAUGUCUCCGCAAUAACAUCUACACCCAGCCCAUCUUUCUCGCAGACAAUACCUUCGGCUAUCCAUCGCCUCAUCAAGUGCUUCCUGCUGAUUUUACACCCCUUGGGAAAUAUGCUCAAAUACAGUGAGCAAGUCUGGAUCUCAGCAGACAUAUCAUUGUAG